AUUGAACGCUAGCGGCAUGCCUUACACAUGCAAGUCGAACGAGUGGCGGACGGGUGAGUAAUUUCUCGGAACCUGCCUGAUGGCGGGGGAUAACUACUCGAAACGGUAGCUAAUACCGCAUACCAUCGGAUCUGCCCAGAUGGGAUUAGCUUGUUGGUGGGGUAACGGCUCCCCAAGGCGACGAUCCCUAGCUGGUCUGAGAGGAUGACCAGCCACACUGGAACUGAGAAACGGGCCAGACUCCGACGGGAGGCAGCAGUGGGGAAUAUUGGACAAUGGGGGAAAGCCUGAUGCAGCCAUGCCGCGUGUAUGAAGAAGGUCUUCGGGUUGUAAAGUACUUUAAGCGGGGAGGCGUUACCAGCAGAAGAAGCACCGGCUAACUUCGUGCCAGCAGCCGCGGUAAUAC
rnacentral:rRNA from 1 species